UACGUAGGGUGCAAGCGUUAAUCGGAAUUACUGGGCGUAAAGCGUGCGCAGGCGGUUAUGUAAGACAGAUGUGAAAUCCCCGGGCUCAACCCUGGGAACUGCAUUUGUGACUGCAUAGCUAGAGUACGGUAGAGGGGGAUGGAAUUCCGCGUGUAGCAGUGAAAUGCGUAGAUAUGCGGAGGAACACCGAUGGCGAAGGCAAUCCCCUGGACCUGUACUGACGCUCAUGCACGAA
rnacentral:rRNA from 1 species